CUGCCUACGGGGGGCAGCAGUGAGGAAUAUUGGUCAAUGGCCGGAAGGCUGAACCAGCCAAGUCGCGUGAGGGAAUAAGGCCCUAUGGGUCGUAAACCUCUUUUGUCAGGGAGCAAAGGCGUCCACGAGUGGACGAAAGGAGAGUACCUGAAGAAAAAGCAUCGGCUAACUCCGUGCCAGCAGCCGCGGUAAUACGUAUGGUGCAAGCGUUAUCCGGAUUUACUGGGUGUAAAGGGAGCGCAGGCGGUGCGGCAAGUCUGAUGUGAAAGCCCGGGGCUCAACCCCGGGACUGCAUUGGAAACUAC
rnacentral:rRNA from 1 species